rnacentral:rRNA from 1 species
UUUCGAAUCAUUCACAAUGGGCGAAAGCCUGAUGGUGCGACGCCGCGUGGGGGACGAAGGUCUUCGGAUUGUAAACCCCUGUCACCGGGGACAAAACGUUGUCUGUUAAUAGCAGCCAACCUGAUUUAACCCGGAGAGGAAGCAGUGGCUAACUCUGUGCCAGCAGCCGCGGUAAUACAGAGACUGCAAGCGUUGUUCGGAUUCACUGGGCGUAAAGGGUGCGCAGGCGGCCGGGUGUGUCGGGUGUGAAAGCUCAAGGCUUAACCUUGAAACUGCGCCCGAAACUAUCCGGCUAGAGUACUGGAGAGGGAAGCGGAAUUCACGGUGUAGCAGUGAAAUGCGUAGAUAUCGUGAGGAACACCAAUGGCGAAGGCAGCUUCCUGGACAGUUACUGACGCUCAGGCACGAAAGCGUGGGGAGCAAAAAGGGAUUAGAUACCCCUGUAGUCCACGCCCUAAACGGUGCAUACUAGGUGUUGGAGGAUUCGACCCCUUCAGUGCCCAAG